CCUGCUUGGCGGUCUCUUUGUCAUGAUCCUGCUCAUCAGUGGCAAGCAAGAUGCCCUUUUUGGACUGAUCCUGAUCGCGAAUGCAGCGAUCGGCGUCGCCCAGGAGCUUCGGGCGAAAUGGAUGCUCGACCGAUUGAAGGUCUUGGUCACUCCCCGAGCCCAUGUGGUACGCGAUGGCGCCACAAAGGACAUCGCGGUGGAUCAGAUCGUCGUUGAUGAUGUACUUGAACUCCAUCCCGGUGAUCAGGUGCCGGUCGACGGCGUCUUGCUGACCGCUCAGACUCUGGAGGUCAAUGAGUCGCUGCUGACCGGAGAAGCUGAACCG
rnacentral:misc_RNA from 1 species